GAUGGACGCCGGCGGCGUGCCUAAUACAUGCAAGUCGAGCGAACGGACGAGAAGCUUGCUUCUCUGAUGUUAGCGGCGGACGGGUGAGUAACACGUGGAUAACCUACCUAUAAGACUGGGAUAACUUCGGGAAACCGGAGCUAAUACCGGAUGAUAUUUUGAACCGCAUGGUUCAAAAGUGAAAGACGGUCUUGCUGUCACUUAUAGAUGGAUCCGCGCUGCAUUAGCUAGUUGGUAAGGUAACGGCUUACCAAGGCAACGAUGCAUAGCCGACCUGAGAGGGUGAUCGGCCACACUGGAACUGAGACACGGUCCAGACUCCUACGGGAGGCAGCAGUAGGGAAUCUUCCGCAAUGGGCGAAAGCCUGACGGAGCAACGCCGCGUGAGUGAUGAAGGUCUUCGGAUCGUAAAACUCUGUUAUUAGGGAAGAACAUAUGUGUAAGUAACUGUGCACAUCUUGACGGUACCUAAUCAGAAAGCCACGGCUAACUACGUG
rnacentral:rRNA from 1 species